rnacentral:rRNA from 1 species
CGCGCAGGCGGUUCCUUAAGUCUGAUGUGAAAGCCCACGGCUCAACCGUGGAGGGUCAUUGGAAACUGGGGAACUUGAGUGCAGAAGAGGAAAGUGGAAUUCCACGUGUAGCGGUGAAAUGCGUAGAGAUGUGGAGGAACACCAGUGGCGAAGGCGACUUUCUGGUCUGUAACUGACGCUGAGGCGCGAAAGCGUGGGGAGCAAACA